rnacentral:rRNA from 1 species
CUAUCGUUAUUAUGGGCAGUAUUCUUGAGGUUGCUAAACUGGUUGUAACAGUAUGGUUACACGAGUAUUGGCCCCGAGUAAAACUUUCAAUGAAAGCUUAUUUGGUAACAGCAGUAGUGGUGCUGAUGUUUAUAACCAGCAUGGGUAUCUUUGGUUUUUUAAGUAGAGCACACAUUGAACAGACUGCACAGAGCACAGAA